GGGUUGUGAGGUUAAGCGACUAAGCGUACACGGUGGAUGCCCUGGCAGUCAGAGGCGAUGAAGGACGUGCUAAUCUGCGAAAAGCGUCGGUAAGGUGAUAUGAACCGUUAUAACCGGCGAUGUCCGAAUGGGGAAACCCAGUGCAAUUCGUUGCACUAUCGUUAACUGAAUACAUAGGUUAACGAGGCGAACCGGGGGAACUGAAACAUCUAAGUACCCCGAGGAAAAGAAAUCAACCGAGAUUCCCCCAGUAGCGGCGAGCGAACGGGGAGCAGCCCAGAGUCUGAAUCAGCUUGUGUGUUAGUGGAACGGUCUGGAAAGUCCGACGGUACAGGGUGAUAGUCCCGUACACCAAAAUGCACAGGCUGUGAACUCGAAGAGUAGGGCGGGACACGUGGUAUCCUGUCUGAAUAUGGGGGGACCAUCCUCCAAGGCUAAAUACUCCUGACUGACCGAUAGUGAACCAGUACCGUGAGGGAAAGGCGAAAAGAACCCCGGCGAGGGGAGUGAAAAAGAACCUGAAACCGUGUACGUACAAGCAGUGGGAGCACCUUCGGGUGUGACUGCGUACCUUUUGUAUAAUGGGUCAGCGACUUAUAUUCUGUAGCAAGGUUAACCGUAUAGGGGAGCCGCAGGGAAACCGAGUCUUAACUGGGCGUUAAGUUGCAGGGUAUAGACCCGAAACCCGGUGAUCUAGCCAUGGGCAGGUUGAAGGUUGGGUAACACUAACUGGAGGACCGAACCGACUAAUGUUGAAAAAUUAGCGGAUGACUUGUGGCUGGGGGUGAAAGGCCAAUCAAACCGGGAGAUAGCUGGUUCUCCCCGAAAGCUAUUUAGGUAGCGCCUCGUGAACUCAUCUUCGGGGGUAGAGCACUGUUUCGGCUAGGGGGUCAUCCCGACUUACCAACCCGAUGCAAACUACGAAUACCGAAGAAUGUUAUCACGGGAGACACACGGCGGGUGCUAACGUCCGUCGUGAAGAGGGAAACAACCCAGACCGCCAGCUAAGGUCCCAAAGUCAUGGUUAAGUGGGAAACGAUGUGGGAAGGCACAGACAGCCAGGAUGUUGGCUUAGAAGCAGCCAUCAUUUAAAGAAAGCGUAAUAGCUCACUGGUCGAGUCGGCCUGCGCGGAAGAUGUAACGGGGCUAAACCAUGCACCGAAGCUGCGGCAGCGACACUAUGUGUUGUUGGGUAGGGGAGCGUUCUGUAAGCCUGCGAAGGUGUGCUGUGAGGCAUGCUGGAGGUAUCAGAAGUGCGAAUGCUGACAUAAGUAACGAUAAAGCGGGUGAAAAGCCCGCUCGCCGGAAGACCAAGGGUUCCUGUCCAACGUUAAUCGGGGCAGGGUGAGUCGACCCCUAAGGCGAGGCCGAAAGGCGUAGUCGAUGGGAAACAGGUUAAUAUUCCUGUACUUGGUGUUACUGCGAAGGGGGGACGGAGAAGGCUAUGUUAGCCGGGCGACGGUUGUCCCGGUUUAAGCAUGUAGGCUGGUU
rnacentral:rRNA from 2 species